UUAAACACAGCACGGCAGGUUCUUAACGUAUACAUUAACAAAUAUUAACUUCCGGAAUGGGUUUUGUGGAAUCAUUUAAAAACAAAUGUUUAAAUUUUGACGUCAUAGAUCCAAGAUGUCUCGCAGGACUUGUGUUUCUAUCCUUGGUCUGUUACUUUCUCCAGUCCCUUGGGAUGGUGGCGCCAUAUUGGAUUCAGUAUGACCGCGGUUCGAGUCUAGUCACUGUUAACUAUUUCUAUGGAGUGUGGUCUGAAUGUAGCGCCACCGCAUCCGGUCCCACAGCAUGUGCCACGUGGAAUUCCGGAAGUUUAACAGAUACAUUCAGAGCGGCACAAGCGCUUGAACUACUUGCGUUUAUGUUUUUGACAUGCGCAGAAGUCGGCAUAAUUAUCUUCGCUUUCCAUGACAGCAAAAAAGUUCCAUAAAACUAUGGCAAUGGUCACCGGGUCGCUGUUUCUAGUAUCCAACAUAUUGAUAAAAAAAUGACUGAAUGCAGAUAAAGCAUUAUGGGGAGUACAUAAAAUCUCAUUUUUAUUGAGGGGAGAUUUUCGGAACCUUACGAAAAGAGAGAAGUACAUAUGAGGAGACCUUUCGAAAAGAGAGAAGUACAUAUGAGGAGACCUUUCGAAAAGAGAGAAGUACAUAUGAGGAGACCAAUUCACUGUCCUUAAAUAUCGAUAACUUAUUUGUUCUUUUUCCUCAUUGAUAAUGUCCUCAUUAUUCAAGUAUGUUGAAUAUGGUUUGUCGUUUUUAAGGCAUGUUAAACCCGCUUCAAUAUCGUUUAGAACUUAAGUAAUGACACUAUGGUAUGCAAGUAAUGUAACACUGUCUCCUUUAAAACAAUAUAUAAAUAAAAAUAACUCGAUG